GUGAAUCAUCAAAUCUUUGAACGCAAAUUGCACUCUCCGGUUUUCCGGGAGAGUAUGCCUGUUUGAGGGUCAGCCUAAAAAAAAUCGACAUUGUUGCUGUUAUUUAAUGGUGACUUUUGUCGGAGAUUGGGUUAUCUUAAACCUUUUUUUUUUUGGUUUUAACGACUUAAAAUUUUUUCUUACCUAUUCAAGAACCUUUUUAAGAUUUUUAUUUCCUUUAAGUUU
rnacentral:misc_RNA from 1 species